rnacentral:rRNA from 1 species
UACGUAGGGUGCGAGCGUUAAUCGGAAUUACUGGGCGUAAAGCGUGCGCAGGCGGUGAUGUAAGACAGUUGUGAAAUCCCCGGGCUCAACCUGGGAACUGCAUCUGUGACUGCAUCGCUGGAGUGCGGCAGAGGGGUAUGGAAUUCCGCGCGUAGCAGUGAAAUGCGUAGAUAUGCGGAGGAACACCGAUGGCGAAGGCAAUCCCCUGGGCCUGCACUGACGCUCAUGCACGAAAGCGUGGGGAGCAAACAGG